rnacentral:rRNA from 1 species
AACUUUCAGCAACGGAUCUCUUGGCUCUCGCAUCGAUGAAGAACGCAGCAAAAUGUGAUAAGUAAUGUGAAUUGCAGAAUUCAGUGAAUCAUCGAAUCUUUGAACGCACCUUGCGCUCCUUGGUAUUCUGAGGAGCAUGCCUGUUUGAGUGU